ensembl:lncRNA
UGACCUUUUAGAGGAAGCUUAUUUUAAAUCAAAUGCGCGCUGCAUGAUGUCUUCUGCAUUUUCUUACUGCCCCAGAUUUGUCACUUCCUGCUUCUGACUGUCAGCUUCCUGCAGUUCAUCUGCUUCCUUGUUGCAUUCUGAUAAGCAGACGUUGACCUUCAGUGCAGAAUAACAUUAGAAGAAUUUAUGAGACAACACUAGGCUGUAUGAAAUCGCACUGAAAAGUGUUUAGUGAGCUAUUAAAGCAUCACAUCAUUACAAGAGACGCUUUAAACAUCUACUGACCUAAAGGUCUCGUGAGAAAUCCUUUCUUCCCGCUCAUAUCCGUGUGUUAGAGUGGAAGCAGGCGUAUGCCGGUCACCGUUCCCCUGAGGUCAGGCUACACAGAUGAAAGACUCUUCCUGGCUGUUCUGAGAACAGUGCAUCCUGGGAAAAGAGAAGAAGACAUGGGAUCUGAGGAACUUCCAGUUCCAUUCCUUCAUUCGGUUUCUUCUGCUUCCUGCUUCCUCUGCUGCAACACUGUGGGCAAAAAGCUGAGAAAAUGACUACAUGCAGAUCAGAUUCACAUCGAUGAUCAAAAGAUGGAGUUGACUGCUUCCAUCUAAACCACUUCCUGGAUCGACAUUUCAUUCAUGAUAAUGUUAGGCAGGUUUGAUUUUGAAGUUGUUUAAUGCUUGAUGAUGGCAUUAUUCUACAUAUGCAUUUGCUUACAUACUUUCAGCCAUAGCUGCUUUCUGCUUCUUCUUCACCUGGUUUUAAUCCAGAGAUUCAGUACUCUUUCAGAAGAUGUGUAAUAGCGCCUCCUACCAUAUAACAGUGUGCUUUUUCUACCCACUCACUAUUAGUGUAUUGUUAAAGUCACAGUGAAACUGAAAUAGUGUCUGAAAUCUUUUCUUCUAUAUUGUGACGUACAUAUGAGUGUAAUGGAUUAUCAAAAAUGACUAAAUGUAGGGCAGGAAUCGGCUCUCUGAUAUCCCCCUUGAAUCAGACUCCUUCUCCUGAAUAUUGUUGUUUCAUUAAACUGUUAUGAGAACAUUAAUGAUGUCUGCUAUGUUUGGUUCUGUUCUGUUUCUGUUUAUUGCUGCAGUGAG